AGGUCAAAGAAAGAUUCAUUCAUUUCACUUUUGUUCUUGCUUUUGUGGCAGUGAAGAAAAAGAUGCCGACCCAGACUGUUGAUCU
rnacentral:sRNA from 1 species